rnacentral:tRNA from 1 species
GGGGGUUUAGCAUAUUGGUUGUGCAGCAGUCUCCAAAACUGUCAAGAUGGGUUCGAUUCCUGUAACCCCCGCCA